rnacentral:rRNA from 1 species
GACGAACGCUGGCGGCGCGCUUAACACAUGCAAGUCGAGCGAAGCGGCGGACGGGUGAGUAACACGUGAGUAACCUGCCUUAGACAUUGGGAUAGCCUCGGGAAACAGGGAUUAAUACCAAAUGGUCUAAGAUGGACUCGCGUCCCAUUAGCUAGUUGGUGGGUAACGGCCCACCAAGGCGACGAUGGGUAGCCGGCCUGAUAAGGGGAACGUCCACAUUGGAACUGAUAUACGAUCCGAACUCUACGGGAGUGAGCAGUGGGGAAUAUUGCACAAUGGAGGUAACUCUGAUGCAGCGACGCCUCGUGAACGAAGAAGUCUUUCGUGUCGUAAAGUUCUUUUAUAUGGGAAGCGGUACCAUAAGAAAAAGCCCCGGCUAACUACGUGCCAGCAGCCGCGGUAAUUC